ensembl:snoRNA SNORA70 Small nucleolar RNA SNORA70
UGGCAGCCAACUGAGCCGACUCUACCCUUUUCCGCGUGGGGCCCAGUGUGCGAUGGCGGCACACGGCCGCGUCCUCAGUGGGGUGUGCAGCCCGAUGGCCUGCUCCCGUUGCCCUAAGGGGCCUUGGAGACAGCC